rfam:Morganella morganii subsp. morganii KT, complete genome.
CGCGGGAUGGAGCAGCAUGGUAGCUCGUCGGGCUCAUAACCCGAAGGUCGUCGGUUCAAAUCCGGCUCCCGCAA